rnacentral:rRNA from 1 species
UUUAGAUCCUGGCUCAGGAUGAACGCUGGCGGCGUGCCUAACACAUGCAAGUCGAACGGGGAGUAUAUUGGAAUGAGGAUUCGUCUGAGGAAAAUGUAUCUUAGUGGCGGACGGGUGAGUAACGCGUGGGCAACUACCGUAUACAGGGGGAUAACACUUAGAAAUAGGUGCUAAUACCGCAUAAGCGCACAGCAGUGCAUACUGGAGUGUGAAAAGCCGAGACGGUAUACGAUGGGCCCGCGUCUGAUUAGCCAGUUGGCAGGGUAACGGCCUACCAAAGCGACGAUCAGUAGCCGGCCUGAGAGGGCGGACGGCCACAUUGGGACUGAGACACGGCCCAGACUCCUACGGGAGGCAGCAGUGGGGGAUAUUGCACAAUGGGGGGAACCCUGAUGCAGCGACGCCGCGUGAGUGAAGAAGUAAUUCGUUAUGUAAAGCUCUAUCAGCAGGGAAGAAUAAAUGACGGUACCUGAGUAAGAAGCCCCGGCUAACUACGU